CCUACGGGCGGCAGCAGUGAGGAAUAUUGGUCAAUGGCCGCAGGGCUGAACCAGCCAAGUCGCGUGAGGGAUGACGGUCCUAUGGAUUGUAAACCUCUUUUGUCAGGGAGCAAAGGGCGCCACGUGUGGCGCUUUGCGAGUACCUGAAGAAAAAGCAUCGGCCAACUCCGUGCCAGCAGCCGCGGUAAUACGGAGGAUGCGAGCGUUAUCCGGAUUUAUUGGGUUUAAAGGGUGCGCAGGCGGAAUGUCAAGUCAGCGGUAAAAUUUCGGGGCUCAACCCCGUCGUGCCGUUGAAACUGGGGUUCUUGAGUGAGCGAGAAGUAUGCGGAAUGCGUGGUGUAGCGGUGAAAUGCAUAGAUAUCACGCAGAACUCCGAUUGCGAAGGCAGCAUACCGGCGCUCAACUGACGCUCAUGCACGAAAGCGUGGGUAUCGAACAGGAUUAGAUACCCGAGUAGUC
rnacentral:rRNA from 1 species